CUGAGGGGCACCUGUUCCCAUGCCCAGCCCAUUCAGCUGUAUCCUGGGUCCUAAGAAAGGAAGCAGUCUCAUUGGAUCGCUGGCUGUGCUCCCAAGGAGCUCAUUAUGUGACUAGGAGGCUCAUUAAAAUGAGGGACUGAGUGAUGGCACUGCCUAGAGCGAUAUAUCAAGUAAGCAGCUGAUGUGAAAGCCACCUUACUUAGCCAGAGCACCUCAAUCCUGACCUGAGCCUUCUAAUUCCAGGCCUGGGUCCUUCCUAAGCAGAACAUCAGUCCUAUGGGAGAUGCCCUUUCCAGAUUUGCCUCUUAAGCACAGGAAGCAGCUACAGAAGACUGCCUUGAACACUGUGCACACUUGCCUCCUGCUCACGAGUGGCAGAUUUUAGAGGAAGAACAAAGGGCUAGAGACUUACCACCGUUUCCCAACUCUUCAGACCGUUUUUGAAGCUAUAUUGCCUGCAAAGGAUGGCUGAUUUGGACAUUAAAGUUGAUGUAUUGAAAAGACCUGACUUUUGGCGGACAGAUUUUGUUGGGUUAGGGGAAUCAGCAGUGUCAUUCUAGCUACCUUCAGAAAUGAAAUGCUUCAUGACAGCCACUUAGAAUGGUCUAUAUUGAACAUGGCUACCUAGACCCCAAAUUCUGUUCUGAUUUAAAUUUCCUAGUAACAGCAUCGGUUGUCCAGUCAGUGUCUGUAUAAAUGUUAAUAGGAAUUGUGCAUGUAGGGGAAUAAUCCCAGAUGUCUCAUUAAAAUGAAGAAUAUCACCCAGAUAGAAAUAAUCUGACUUUUGCUUCCUGUGCUUAGAUCACAUUUAUGUUGUUAUAUAUAUGCAUGAGGAAAGUGAUAUAUGAAAAGCCAUUUUUAGUUUAAUUCAUGUAAGUCAAUGCAGGCUCUCAUAAAAGUCCAGUCCGUAAAACAUAUGCUGCUUACUCAGCAUUAGCAUAUAAGUGACAGGUUUUUGUUCUGCAUGGGAAGUUAAGCUGACAGUCUUUCCCUGUUCUCUUGUUAUUCCAGGAGUUGCAAGUCAGCACCUUGUGUUGCAAUAGUGCAUGUUGCAUCACUCUAAAGUGCUGAUCUCCUCUGAAAAAUGACAGGAUGGGGCUCCACAUAUAUUUUCUUUCAGUGAUUUUCACAUAAUAUUUACUCUGUUCAUAUGUCAAAAGAUUUUUUUUUUUCGGACCAGAUAUGUGAGCUGAGCCUGGGAUUUGCAAAGCUACCUUGCUCAUCACCAGUGAUAGAGAUUCUUCAGUUAGAACUUAGCUGACAGCUCUGAUGAUGUGAAAGGUAGUGCAGGUCUUGCUAAUGCUAGUAAAAGCUUGUUUUUGUCAGUAACAUAAGAAACGCGUAGCACAGUUGUGCUGAAAAAGGCACAACCGUUUUUAAAACGUCACUUUUCUGACCCAAUCCAACAGCGUUCUAGCACAAAGAUCAGGUCUUCCGCUGGUGUAAAUAAGUGUAGUUUCACUGAGGCCAAUCUAGAAGUGGAGGAUUAUUAUAAUUGUUAUUCGUGU